rnacentral:rRNA from 1 species
GAGUUUUGAUCAUGGCUCAGGAUGAACGCUAGCUACAGGCUUAACACAUGCAAGUCGAGGGGCAUCAGUUUGGUUUUGCUUGCAAACCAAAGCUGGCGACCGGCGCACGGGUGAGUAACACGUAUCCAACCUGCCUCAUACUCGGGGAUAGCCUUUUCGAAAGAAAAGAUUAAUAUCCGAUAGCAUAUAUUUCCCGCAUGGGUUUUAUAUUAAAGAAAUUCGGUAUGAGAUGGGGAUGCGUUCCAUUAGUUUGUUGGCGGGGUAACGGCCCACCAAGACUACGAUGGAUAGGGGUUCUGAGAGGAAGGUCCCCCACAUUGGUACUGAGACACGGUCCAAACUCCUACGGGAGGCAGCA